UGAUUUAUACAUAGCAGGAAAGCAAAAUUGUCAUUUGGAAAAAAGCGAGGUCAUUUCCAGACAGUUUCCAUUCCACAAGGGGGAGGGGCUUUUCUGUUGCCACAGGCAUGCUUGCAAGAGGCUCUCGCCAGGGUUUUGAUUUUCAAAGGUCCAGAAAGGCAGGGUAGUGUUGGCAGUGGCCCUCUUUCGCUCUCGUGUAAAAUCUGAGAAGCCUGAGGCGGCGGGGCUCAGACAGUGUGUCAUUCCCGACCCUGGACCUGCAGGGCUUAGGGUUUAGGUUAGAGAAUGAGGCAGCAGCUCCUGGGGGAUUUUCCGCCGCAGCUGCCUGACUGCGCACUCGCAGGGUGGUGACUCACUCGGGCCUGGUCGCCCUUUUGUCCGUCUGUCGUCGUUGGCACUCGCACUAACUCACAGAGAAGCACAAAGAUGUGCUUAUGCUCGUGUGAGUUAAUACUCCGCUGAAGCAGAGCGCGGGUUCUCAGAGAGGGUCGGAGCAGGGUGCUGAGCGGGCGUGGGGGCCCAGAAGCGAUGUCACCUCAGGACAGCCCGAAGGGAAGCAAGUGCUCAGGUGUGAAUGGGAAGCGGGAAUUCUGUAACACUUCAUCUGCGGACUUCACAGCCUUGAGAUUUACAAUCUGCACCCCGAAAUAUGGGAUUUCAUCAAAUCACCUUGCCAAUCCUAUCCAAAGUGGUACAGCCAACACCAGCAGAGGCAUAGAGUGAGCGGAUUUCUCCCUGGUGGUGAUCAGUUCAUGAAACGUUCAAGUACCUUUCCACAGGAGGAGAGAAAACAUCAGCUCUCUUGUCCCACCACUGAACAUUGCCCGACCCUGGGAGGAAAAAGAAAAUAAUGCAGAGGAAAACCCUAGAUUUUAUUGAAUAUUUCCACUAAUGAGAUAGAAUAAAUCUACAAAUAACAUGGACUCGGUAGCAGUAACUAGGUAAUUUUCUGCUAAUAGGAAGAAUGGAAAACAGAAACCAUUCUAUUCUGACUUCAGAAUUGAAAUUUUAAGAAAAUUGCAUUUAUUUUGCAUGCCUCAGGCC
rnacentral:lncRNA from 1 species